rnacentral:sRNA from 1 species
UCAGGUAACACUGUUUUCUUACGAACAGGAGAAGACACGGAACAAUUACAGCAUAAAUGAUACCAAUCAGAAUUGAAUAAAUGUUGAAACCUUUUUUUUCUUUUUCGCGAAGAAGAGAAGUCUGAUCAUUCAAAAUAAAUAAUACAAGUUGCUCUUCUGACCUAUCAUCCUCAGAAUGGGUCAAGACUUAUCGCGAUUAAGAAUUCCUCUUAAUGAGCAGCACUACACCUUUAUUUUCAUUGGUAAAACCGGCACUGGAAAAAGUUCACUUUGCAAUAGGAUCAGCAGCACGAAUGCAUUUGAGGAGUCCGGCUCUGGUACAUCUGAGACCUCUGAACCAAAGGCGGCGGAGUCUAACCAUUUUGGUGUUCCCGUGACUGUGGUUGACACCCCUGGCA